rnacentral:rRNA from 1 species
UACGGAGGGUGCAAGCGUUAUCCGGAUUCACUGGGUUUAAAGGGUGCGUAGGCGGAUUGGUAAGUCCGUGGUGAAAUCCCCGAGCUUAACUUGGGAACUGCCGUGGAUACUAUCAGUCUUGAAUAUCGUGGAGGUAAGCGGAAUAUGUCAUGUAGCGGUGAAAUGCUUAGAUAUGGCAUAGAACACCAAUUGCGUAGGCAGCUUACUACUCGAUCAUUGACGCUGAGGCACGAAAGCGUGGGGAGCAAACAGG